rnacentral:sRNA from 1 species
AGUCUCUGGCUCUUUAGAAUACUGGAUGAAUUCUGAGCUGGUUCCCCCCCACUCAAGAGGAAGGAUGGAUCAAGUUUAGGUGGAGUGAAGGCUGCACUGGACAGCAUCCAAAGGACAUUCCAAGCAUAUCAGACCUGAAGACUGCAAGCAACUUUAAGAAGCUCCAUAUUCAGCAGGGCUUUCCUUUUGAGAAUCUGAAUAAGCUCCAAGCAAUCUAAUAGGAUGGCUUGCAGUUUCCCUGGAGAAAAAGAUUUACCUCAAAAGAAUAGGCCUGUUGCUUUACAGUGUUAGUGACCCAUUCCCUUUGACGAUUCCUAGGUGGAGAUGGGGCAUGAGGAUCCUCCAGGGGAAAGAUUCACUACCACUGAGCAACAACUCUAGGCCAGGAGGUUAUACCAAGAUUCUUUCCUGGGCCCAGUUAAGAAGGUGAAGUCUCAAGACAACCACCACACAUCCAGAGCUCCUGGUUGUUCCCUUCAUAUU